UUUCCCCGCGUUGCCCGUUAAUGGCUUUCUGUCAGUCCGUGUGCGAGCCCGCCGGCCGCAGGGCCGGGAAGGACGGGCCAGCGCUGCACGACACUGCAGCGAACAAACUGAUUUUUUCAAGGAAUUCCUAGAAUUGUGAGGGAUUACUCAAAAGAAUGAGGCAGGAAAAGACCAUCUAGUUUACUGAACAUCAGAAUCUACAAAAUACAGAUAUUUAGCUUCAAAUGGGGGUGGCGUGGAGGGCCAGAAUAAUCGCCGUGUCCCAGAGUUGAUCCACUUUUUUCAGAAAGACUUUUUUUAAGAAGCCAGCUUAAAUCAGCUUUCCUGUAUGACAAUUUUCUCAUCCUUCUGCAGAUGAAUAGAACAAUUGGUCAUAAUCUUGUAGUAGGUUGGAUGCAUGGAUCAGUGUGUGUGUGGUUUUUUUUAUUGAAGCCUAUGUUCGCUAUUCAGACUAUCCAUAUUUUAGGCCUCUCAGAGAAACUCUGCUGAGUACCAAAAAGCUUUUGUGUAACUUAGGGCAGUAGUGCUGUAGCUCUGCUUGUAGCUACUGAAUGACACUGUGAUGGUUUUCAUAUAAGUAAGUUCAGAUUAUGCUGGCAAAAAGGCACAUUCUUUAACAUAUGAUCUGGUAAGAAUUUUCUCUCCUCUGUUUACAGUUUUGGGUCUAACUAGACAAGUAUCAUAAUAGUCCACAUGGCUGCUUGAGCAGUUGGAUUUAUGUUUAUGUCCUCGGAUACUUUUAUAAGGCUCAAAAAGUAUCCUGUUCAUCACAAAACUAGUAAAAUUUGUGGAUCAUACACAGCAAGUUUACAGCUAUUUCAAACAUCAUAUUGCCAAGAGUUGUGAACACAAAGAAAAGGAAGGAACCAAAACCAUCAGACUUGCAAUAAUAUUACAUGACUACUCAGUUAAGCUGUGUGUGUCAAGACAGUUCUGUGCAGGCUCACAUCCUAUUCCAGCAGGGCUUACUUGGACACGGGAUACUCUGAUUCAGCUCCCCUGGGCUGCGGAGCAUGUGUACAGACUAUAUGUGUAUUCCAGCAUGUAUGCGCCAAGGCAAACACAAAUCAAGCAACAGCAUCACUAUAGGCAAUUUCCUAGGUUCUGCUGCUUAAUAUCAGCAAACUGUAACAUUUUAAUUUCUAGAAAAGCAAAUGGAGCCUUUAGAAUAGAAGUAAUAAAGCACACAGUAGAAUUUAGGGCUAUGAAAUAUCAAUAUAUCAUAUGUAAUCCUUUGAGAUGACAAUGCUGUAGAGUCCAUUGGCUUCAUCUGGCAGAGAUUAGGGUACCAAACCUGCUGGAAAACUUGGACAGUAGGUAUUUUUAUCUCCUGUUCAGUUGAAAACAAACUGAGAAACUAAAAUUAGUUAGAAAAGGGAACAACCACAUCAUCUACAAGUUUGUCAUCAGUCUUGGGAAGAAGGGAGAGUAAAGGCCCGUUACUGUUCAGGAAAGAGAGUGAAUGGUAGAUAAUGUGUAAUGGAUUGAAGAAUAAGCACAUCAUUUUUCUUCCAGUGAACGAUCUAGUUUUAACAAGAUAAUAAUAUUAAUUUCAACAGGAUAAUAGCACACAAAAAAUCAGAGUUGAAGUCCUUAGAAUGUGUGUUAAAUUCUGCAGGGACAGAUGAAAUUUGCCCUAAAGUAUUUUUUUUGGGAAAAUGAAAGAAAACAAAAACACCAAAACAAAACAAAUAAACAACCCUAAAGAAAAAAAACAAGCAAAACAUAAAUAACUGAAGCAAUUUCUGCAAUGUUAAAAGUUAUUUCUGAGAUGCCAUUCAAGAAACCUAGAGGACUUCAGAAUGAUAGAGUAUCAUCUUCAAAAGGAUGUAGGAAAAGUAAGGCCCAAAAUAAUGCUACACCAAGUGGAUAAACAGAGAAACAAUAUAACAUCCAUCGCUGACAAAAAAGUUUACUUGCUGCUAACAGGGUAACAAAUGAGGAUGCAGCAGAAUAAGUAAAUCCAAGCCUAGGCAUGAUGCCUUCAGGAAGAUGCGAGGCAGCUGGAGAGAAUCGGGGGAAGCAAACGCGGCCUGCGGUGGAUGGGGGCCAUACAGGAAGCGACGCAAAAACAGAACUGAAGACAAGCUGUGUCCCGCAGACCUGGACGGAGGCUAAAUAGAGCCCCCAUGCCCUGGGCAGUUUAUGUGAGUAGAAGUCCUAGGUGAGACAGACAAAUCAAACCAAACUAAACCAAACCAACAACCCCCAAACACACCACCAAAAAGCAUACCUACAAUUAAAUCAAAAUCUUUGUCACAGAACAUUUCCAGCUCCUUAGUGGCCUACAAACACUACAUAAAUAUCUUCCAAAAUAGUUUCUUUUAGCAAAACUCAACAGAAGAAAAAGGGGAAAAUGCUGUCUACUUUCCGGUUGCAGGUGAUACAUAAAGCAUGCACUCAGUAGUCCCAGGAUAUGAAAGGCUUCACAGGUUUGACCAUAGCCAAUAUUAUGUCUCCUUACUAGACUGUAGUUCUCUACCUUCCACUGGAAGGAUA